rnacentral:lncRNA from 1 species
CGGCGCCCGCAGAGACGGGGUAACGGAACUGGGACGCCAGCGCUGCAUUGUGGGAGCUUUUAAAGCGGCGGGGAGCGCGGCGCGACCGCUGGGGCCCACCGGGCCGAGCUCGGCCCGCCACCCCCGCCCCGGCCACCCGGGCCUGCCGACCGGAAAGCCAGAACUGGUGAGCCGACUGCGGCCUCGCUGACUCUCCCGGGAGCCAAAUCUUCCACAGCCCGGGGCUGAAACUUGUAAAACUGCCCUCUCCGGUCACCCCGGAAAGUAGGAGGCUUUUUUCGCAGACGCGUUAAAAAAAAAAAAAAAAAAAAAAGCCUUUCCGUCCCCCCAGGACUGGGUCUGAACUGCUUUGCAGCUGAAGUGGCAGUGAUUCAGCGACCCCCUUCUCAGCAGCAGGCAAUGACAGAGGCAGGAGACGAAAAACAGCGAAUGAAUCAGCCGUCAGAGCUUCAUGGUGGACAAAGUUUGGUCUUCUCUGUGUUUUUGGACCAUUGUCAUGCACAGCUUCCUGGGUGAGAGGGUCUAAAAUUAAAUCUCAGGCAUUCUGAGAGAUGAGAGGCAGGCUGCCCACUUAGAGGCACCAUCUCACACAUCAGGAAGAGCUCCCAAAUUAAGGAUCCCAGGGAUUCCGUUCAAGCGAUAACAUGGAAAACAAGCCUGUGCUGCAGAGGUGAUCUGGACGCAGGAAGAAAUGAAAGACGCCUACAAUCAAAAAGUAAGUCUGUAAUUUAUAACAUGUGCUCUUUGCAGAAUUUUAAAUGCUAUUAGAGAUCACUCAACUGCUCUUCUCCUUCAAGGCUGAAUCACUGUUAACGUUAACUAAAGAAAAGUGGAUUCUAUCUCUUGGUCUUAAGAAAGAUUGUUAACAAAAACCUUAACAGUUUUUUCUCACUCUCAAUGAAAAGGGUAAUUAUCAUACAUGGCUUAAAUUAUUUUUUUGAAAUUGAGUUUUAUCUUGAAGUCUUGCUCGUCAAUUUUCUGGCUAUUUGAUCUCUCUCCACAGAUUUCACGAUCUGUAAAACUGAGAUGAUAAUAGUACUUAUAAGCACCUGAUAAUUGUUAAAUGUGGAUGUAAUUAUUGUUGAAUGAAUAUGCUCGAGUAGCCUUUCUGCCUUUUUACCUGAUGACUUUUGGGUACAGUAUGCCCAUGUCUGAUAGGUAAAGGACAGUGACAUCAACAUUGAAUGUUACUGUUGGGCCUGGGAUUGAGCUAGUUGUUGAGAAGAAUGAAAACGUGGUCCUGACCUUAGAUAUCUAAAAAUUUAUUUAUGUGCAUAAAAUAUAUAGUAGCAAAAUUACUUUCAGUUGUGAAAAUUUAUUGAACUAUAUACUUUGUAUACUUUUAAUGCAUAUUAUUAAUCAAUAAAAAGAAGAAAAGAAUAGACA